rnacentral:rRNA from 1 species
CUGUCUCCUUUUUCUAAUCAGUGAAACUAAUCUUCCCGUGAAGAAGCGGGAAUAUCCCCAUAAGACGAGAAGACCCCAUGGAGCUUCAAACCCAAUUACACCCCUAACCCCUAUAACUACUUAACCCUUAGGAUUCUGUAUUAUUGGUUUUAGGUUGGGGCGACCACGGAGUACAACAAAACCUCCACAAUGAACGGAACUACUUCCUCAUCUGAGAGCUACAUCUCUAAGAAUUAAAAUAUUAACAUAAAAUGAUCCAUUUUUGAUCAAUGAACCAAGUUACCCUGGGGAUAACAGCGCAAUCCAUUUCAAGAGCCCCUAUCGACAAAUGGG